UGCCCUAUAGCUCAAUUGGCAGAGCGCCUGACUCUGGAUCAGGAGGUUCCAGGUUCGAAUCCUGGUAGGGCAA
rnacentral:tRNA from 1 species